rnacentral:rRNA from 1 species
GACGUGGGGGCAAGUGUUCUUCGGAAUGACUGGGCGUAAAGGGCACGUAGGCGGGGAAUCGGGUUGAAAGUGAAAGUCGCCAAAAAGUGGCGGAAUGCUCUCGAAACCAAUUCACUUGAGUGAGACAGAGGAGAGUGGAAUUUCGUGUGUAGGGGUGAAAUCCGUAGAUCUACGAAGGAACGCCAAAAGCGAAGGCAGCUCUCUGGGUCCCUACCGACGCUGAGGAACGAAAGCCAGGGGAGCGAAAGGG